UUACAGCCAUAUCAUGUGGAAACACAGGUUCCGGUUCGAUCACCGAGGUUAAGCAACAUCGACAUGGUCAGUACCUAAAUGGGUGACCGCUUGGGAAUACCAGAUGUUGCAA